AUGACAUGGACAAGGAAUUGAAACCUGCAACCCUCGAUUACAAACCAAGUUGACUGGGAGUCGAAAGCCCUCCAUUGGCCACCACAUC
rnacentral:tRNA from 1 species